rnacentral:rRNA from 1 species
GACGAACGCUGGCGGCGUGGAUUAGGCAUGCAAGUCGAACGGUAUCAUCCUUUCGGGGGUGAGAGAGUGGCGAACUGGUGAGUAACACGUAGGUUAUCUACCCUCAAGACGGGGACAACCCAGGGAAACUUGGGCUAAUACCGGAUGUGAGCAACUUUUAGUUGUUUGAAAGGUGGCGUAAGCUGUCGCUUGGGGAUGAGCCUGCGUCCUAUUAGUUAGUUGGUGAGGUAACGGCUCACCUAGGCAAUGAUAGGUAGGCGGCCUUAACGGGUGGUCGCCCACACUGGGAUUGAGAUACGGCCCAGACUCCUACGGGAGCAGCAGUCGAGAAUAGUCUACAAUGGUCGAAGGCUGAUAGUGCGACGCCGCGUGAACGAGGGAGCCCUUCGGGGUGUAAAGUUCUUUUAUACGUUGAGCAGUGCCCUUUAUAUGAAUAGUAUAGAGGGAGGGAUUAAGCGUAUGAAUAAGCAACGGCUAACUCCGUG